rnacentral:rRNA from 1 species
AUUGAACGCUGGCGGCAUGCCUUACACAUGCAAGUCGAACGGUAACGCGGGGCAACCUGGCGACGAGUGGCGAACGGGGGAGUAACGCAUCGGAACGUGCCCAGUAGUGGGGGAUAGCCCGGCGAAAGCCGGAUUAAUACCGCAUACGACCUACGGGUGAAAGGGGGGGAUCGCAAGACCCCUCGCUAUUGGAGCGGCCGAUGUCAGAUUAGGUAGUUGGUGGGGUAAAGGCCUACCAAGCCGACGAUCUGUAGCUGGUCUGAGAGGACGACCAGCCACACUGGGACUGAGACACGGCCCAGACUCCUACGGGAGGCAGCAGUGGGGAAUUUUGGACAAUGGGCGAAAGCCUGAUCCAGCCAUGCCGCGUGCGGGAAGAAGGCCUUCGGGUUGUAAACCGCUUUUGUCAGGGAAGAAAUCUUCUGAGCUAAUACCUCGGGAGGAUGACGGUACCUGAAGAAUAAGCACCGGCUAACUACGUGCCAGCAGCCGCAGUAA